rnacentral:rRNA from 1 species
UACGAAGGGGGGCUAGCGUUGCUCGGAAUUACUGGGCGUAAAGCGCACGUAGGCGGCUCUUUAAGUCGGGGGUGAAAUCCUGGAGCUCAACUCCAGAACUGCCUUCGAUACUGUAGAGCUUGAGUUCGGGAGAGGUGAGUGGAACUGCGAGUGUAGAGGUGAAAUUCGUAGAUAUUCGCAAGAACACCAGUGGCGAAGGCGGCUCACUGGCCCGAUACUGACGCUGAGGUGCGAAAGCGUGGGGAGCAAACAGG